rnacentral:rRNA from 1 species
GCUUAGAAGCAGCCAUCAUUUAAAGAAAGCGUAAUAGCUCACUGGUCGAGUCGGCCUGCGCGGAAGAUGUAACGGGGCUAAACCAUGCACCGAAGCUGCGGCAGCGACGCUGAUGCGUUGUUGGGUAGGGGAGCGUUCUGUAAGCCUGCGAAGGUGUGCUGUGAGGCAUGCUGGAGGUAUCAGAAGUGCGAAUGCUGACAUAAGUAACGAUAAAGCGGGUGAAAAGCCCGCUCGCCGGAAGACCAAGGGUUCCUGUCCAACGUUAAUCGGGGCAGGGU